rnacentral:tRNA from 1 species
GCCCGGAUGGCGGAAUUGGUAGACGCGCACGACUCAAACUCGUGUUUUUCGGAGUGUGGGUUCGAUUCCCACUCUGGGCA